rnacentral:misc_RNA from 1 species
UACACGGAAGCCUUUGCAGCUGGAGACAGUAAGCUGAGCGACUCAAAACAAGAUCAGCCCCAUGCAAGUCGGCGCUCGCGCUGGCGACACUUUCGAACUGACGGGGAAACCCUAAAGCCCUUCCCACCAAACCAGUCCGGGGAAACCCGCUGGCGGCCUGUCCUAGCAGUACAGGGUAUGGUAACAGAGGAAGGGAUGAUCUGGGCAGCAGCAGCCGCCUGGUGAAGUGGGCAAUCCGCAGCGAAGCCCCUAAGGCCUCCGGGUACGGGGAACGUUCACAGACUAAGUGGAAGUGGGUGGAGCCCUGACAGCUCUGCUUAAGAUAUAGUCGGGACCCUGGGGAAACCCAGGGCGGUAUUCAGAAACCGUUCCGUAGGUGAACCUUCGGAAGGAUCAUUAUCGAAAUGCAGCGGGGGCAGACAGCUCCAAGGCCGCCGGCCCCCGCGUACACGCAUUAUCCACCCUUGACUUUGAGCACCGUUUGUUUCCUCGGCGGGGACGCCCGCCAGCGAGGACCCCAUUGAACCCUUUGCAGUAGCAGUAUUUGUCUGAAAAAAAACACAAAAAUCACAACUUUCAACAAUGGAUCUCUUGGUUCUG